rnacentral:rRNA from 1 species
UACGUAGGGUGCGAGCGUUAAUCGGAAUUACUGGGCGUAAAGCGUGCGCAGGCGGUUCGUUGUGUCGGCGGUGAAAGCCCCGGGCUUAACCUGGGAAUGGCCGUCGAAACUGGCGAACUGGAGUGUGGCAGAGGGGGGUGGAAUUCCGCGUGUAGCAGUGAAAUGCGUAGAUAUGCGGAGGAACACCGAUGGCGAAGGCAAUCCCCUGGGCCUGCACUGACGCUCAUGCACGAAAGCGUGGGGAGCAAACAGG